UUGAACGCUGGCGGCAGGCCUAACACAUGCAAGUCGAGCGGAUGAAGGGAGCUUGCUCCUGGAUUCAGCGGCGGACGGGUGAGUAAUGCCUAGGAAUCUACCUGGUAGUGGGGGAUAACGUCCGGAAACGGGCGCUAAUACCGCAUACGUCCUGAGGGAGAAAGUGGGGGAUCUUCGGACCUCACGCUAUCAGAUGAGCCUAGGUCGGAUUAGCUAGUUGGUGGGGUAAAGGCCUACCAAGGCGACGAUCCGUAACUGGUCUGAGAGGAUGAUCAGUCACACUGGAACUGAGACACGGUCCAGACUCCUACGGGAGGCAGCAGUGGGGAAUAUUGGACAAUGGGCGAAAGCCUGAUCCAGCCAUGCCGCGUGUGUGAAGAAGGUCUUCGGAUUGUAAAGCACUUUAAGUUGGGAGGAAGGGCAGUAAGUUAAUACCUUGCUGUUUUGACGUUACCAACAGAAUAAGCACCGGCUAACUUCGUG
rnacentral:rRNA from 1 species